rnacentral:rRNA from 1 species
CCUACGGGAGGCAGCAGUGGGGAAUUUUGGACAAUGGGCGAAAGCCUGAUCCAGCCAUGCCGCGUGCAGGAUGAAGGCCUUCGGGUUGUAAACUGCUUUUGUACGGAACGAAAAGCCUCUUUCUAAUAAAGAGGGGUCAUGACGGUACCGUAAGAAUAAGCACCGGCUAACUACGUGCCAGCAGCCGCGGUAAUACGUAGGGUGCGAGCGUUAAUCGGAAUUACUGGGCGUAAAGCGUGCGCAGGCGGUUAUAUAAGACAGUUGUGAAAUCCCCGGGCUCAACCUGGGAACUGCAUCUGUGACUGUAUAGCUAGAGUACGGUAGAGGGGGAUGGAAUUCCGCGUGUAGCAGUGAAAUGCGUAGAUAUGCGGAGGAACACCGAUGGCGAAGGCAAUCCCCUGGACCUGUACUGACGCUCAUGCACGAAAGCGUGGGGAGCAAACAGGAUUAGAUACCCUGGUAGUCCACGCCCUAAACGAUGUCAACUGGUUGUUGGGAAUUCACUUUCUCAGUAACGAAGCUAACGCGUGAAGUUGACCGCCGUCGGGAGGUACGGCCGCGAGGUUAGUAACGUACGAAGGAAGUUAGACGGCGUGAGACGUGCCGACGGACGACGACGAGGGAGGAGG